UACUGAUGAAAUAUAAACUGAAAUAGCUGGAAUUACCGGCAGAUUGUUUAGUGGUGAUUCUCGGUUUUCUGAAC
ensembl:snoRNA small nucleolar RNA SNORD65